rnacentral:rRNA from 1 species
UGAGUACGAGCGGCUACGGCCGCGAAGUGGAUGAUGUCAAGCUUCCAAGAAAAGCCCUAUACCCGUUAAGGCAUGAUGGCCUGUACCCGAAACCGACACAGGUGGGGUGGUAGAGAAUACCGAGGGGCGCGAGGUAACUCUCUCUAAGGAACUCGGCAAAAUGGCCCCGUAACUUCGGGAGAAGGGGUGCCACCGCGAGGUGGUCGCAGUGAAGAGGCCCAGGCGACUGUUUACCAAAAACACAGGUCUCCGCUAAGUCGCAAGACGAUGUAUGGGGGCUGACGCCUGCCCAGUGCCGGAAGGUUAAGGAAGCUGGUCAGCGCAAGCGAAGCUGGCGACUGAAGCCCCGGUGAACGGCGGCCGUAACUAUAACGGUCCUAAGGUAGCGAAAUUCCUUGUCGGGUAAGUUCCGACCCGCACGAAAGGCGUAACGAUCUGGGCGCUGUCUCGGAGAGAGGCUCGGCGAAAUAGAAUUGUCUGUGAAGAUGCGGACUACGUGCACCCGGACAGAAAGACCCUAUGAAGCUUUACUGUAGCUUGGUAUUGUGCUCGGGCUCGGAAUGCGCAGGAUAGGUGGGAGGCUUUGAUCCAUUGCUUGCGGGUGAUGGUGAGCCACUGGUGAGAUACCACUCUUUCCGAGCUAGAGUUCUAACAGCAACCCGUUAUCCGGGUGCUGGACAGUAUCAGGUGGGCAGUUUGACUGGGGCGGUCGCCUCCUAAAAGGUAACGGAGGCGCGCAAAGGUCUGCUCAGGCUGGUUGGAAAUCAGCCGACGAGUGUAAAAGCAGAAGCAGGCUUGACUGUGAGACCUACAAGUCGAACAGGGAGGAAACUCGGCUUUAGUGAUCCGACGGUUCUGCGUGGAAGGGCCGUCGCUCAACGGAUAAAAGUUACUCUAAGGAUAACAGGCUGAUCUCCCCCAAGAGUUCACAUCGACGGGGAGGUUUGGCACCUCGAUGUCGGCUCAUCGCAACCUGGGGCUGAAGUCGGUCCCAAGGGUUGGGCUGUUCGCCCAUUAAAGCGGUACGCGAGCUGGGUUCAGAACGUCGUGAGACAGUUCGGUCCAUAUCCGGUGCACGCGCAGGAAUAUUGAGAGGAUUUCUCCCUAGUACGAGAGGACCGGGAGGAACGCACCUCUGGUGUGCCAGUUAUCGUGCCAACGGUAAACGCUGGGUAGCCAUGUGCGGAGUGGAUAACCGCUGAAAGCAUCUAAGUGGGAAGCCCACCUCAAGAUGAGUAUUCCCAUGGCAUAAGCCAGUAAGGUCACGGGAAGAACACCCGUUGAUAGGCUCUACGUGGAAGCGCAGUAAUGUGUGAAGCGGAGGAGUACUAAUAGACCGAGGGCUUGACC